rnacentral:rRNA from 1 species
UGGGGAAUAUUGCACAAUGGGGGAAACCCUGAUGCAGCGACGCCGCGUGAACGAAGAAGGUAUUCGUAUCGUAAAGUUCUGUCCUAUGGGAAGAUAAUGACAGUACCAUAGAAGAAAGCUCCGGCUAAAUACGUGCCAGCAGCCGCGGUAAUACGUAUGGAGCGAGCGUUGUCCGGAAUUAUUGGGCGUAAAGGGUACGCAGGCGGUUUAAUAAGUCGAAUGUUAGAGAUCGGGGCUCAACCCCGCAAAGCAUUGGAAACUGAUAAACUGGAGUAGUGGAGAGGAAAGUGGAAUUCCUAGUGUAGUGGUGAAAUACGUAGAUAUUAGGAGGAAUACCAGUAGCGAAGGCGACUUUCUGGACGCAAACGGACGCUGAGGUGCGAAAGCGUGGGGAGCAAACAGG